rnacentral:rRNA from 1 species
UACGUAGGGUGCAAGCGUUAAUCGGAAUUACUGGGCGUAAAGCGUGCGCAGGCGGUUCGCCAAGUCAGGUGUGAAAUCCCCGGGCUUAACCUGGGAAUUGCGCUUGAAACUAGCGGGCUUGAGUGUGGCAGAGGGGGGUGGAAUUCCACGUGUAGCAGUGAAAUGCGUAGAGAUGUGGAGGAACACCGAUGGCGAAGGCAGCCCCCUGGGCCGACCCUGACGCUGAGGCGCGAAGGCGUGGGGAGCGAACGGG